rnacentral:rRNA from 1 species
AAUGAACGCUGGCGGCAGGCCUAAAACAUGCAAGUCGAACGCCCUAGCAAUAGGGAUUGGCGCACGGGUGAGUAACAUGUGGGAAUAUGCCUUUUGGUACGGAACAACGUUUGGAAACGAACGCUAAUACCGUAUGGUCCCUCCGGGGUAAAGAUUUAUCGCCAAAAGAUUAGCCCGCACUAGAUUAGCUAGUUGGUAAGGUAAUGGCUUACCAAGGCGACGAUCUAUAGCUGUUCUGAGAGGAAGAUCAGCCACACUGGGACUGAGACACGGCCCAGACUCCUACGGGAGGCAGCAGUUAGGAAUAUUGGACAAUGGGCGCAAGCCUGAUCCAGCCAUGCCGCGUGAGUGAUGAAGGCCUUCGGGUUGUAAAGCUCUUUAGCCGACGAAUAUAAUGACUGUAGUCGGAGAAUAAGCCCCGGCUAACUUCGUGCCAGCAGCCGCGGUAACAC